rnacentral:rRNA from 1 species
UCGGUCUGGCGGCGAGUGGCGGACGGGUGAGUAAUGUAUCGGAACGUACCCAGUAGCGGGGGAUAACUACUCGAAAGAGUAGCUAAUACCGCAUACGCCCUACGGGGGAAAGGGGGGGAUCUUAUGACCUCUCACUAUUGGAGCGGCCGAUAUCGGAUUAGCUAGUUGGUGGGGUAAAGGCCUACCAAGGCGUCGAUCCGUAGCUGGUUUGAGAGGACGACCAGCCACACUGGGACUGAGACACGGCCCAGACUCCUACGGGAGGCAGCAGUGGGGAAUUUUGGACAAUGGGGGCAACCCUGAUCCAGCCAUCCCGCGUGUGCGAUGAAGGCCUUCGGGUUGUAAAGCACUUUUGGCAGGAAAGAAAUUGCAUGGGUUAAUACCCUGUGUAGAUGACGGUACCUGCAGAAUAAGCACCGGCUAACUACGUGCCAGCAGCCGCGGUAAUACGUAGGGUGCAAGCGUUAAUCGGAAUUACUGGGCGUAAAGCGUGCGCAGGCGGUUCGGAAAGAAAGAUGUGAAAUCCCAGGGCUUAACCUUGGAACUGCAUUUUUAACUGUCGAACUAGAGUGCGUCAGAGGGGGGUGGAAUUCCGCGUGUAGCAGUGAAAUGCGUAGAUAUGCGGAGGAACACCGAUGGCGAAGGCAGCCCCCUGGGAUGACACUGACGCUCAUGCACGAAAGCGUGGGGAGCAAACAGG